rnacentral:misc_RNA from 1 species
GAUGAAGAACGUAGUGAAAUGCGAUAAGUAAUGUGAAUUGCAGAAUUCAGUGAAUCAUCGAAUCUUUGAACGCACAUUGCGCCCCUUGGUAUUCCGAGGGGCAUGCCUUUUCGAGCGUCAUUAUAACCCCUCAAGCUCAGCUUGGUGUUGGGGCCUGCUGCACUGGCAGCCCUUAAAAUCAGUGGCGGCGCCAUCUGGCUCUAAGCGUAGUAAUUCUUCUCGCUAUGGAGUCCUGGUGGAUGCUUGCCAUCAACCCCCAAUUUUUCUAUGGUUGACCUCGGAUCAGGUAGGGAUACCCGCUGAACUUAAGCAUAUCAAUAAGCGGAGGA